GACGAACGCUGGCGGCGUGCUUAACACAUGCAAGUCGAACGGAAAGGCCCCUUUGGGGGUACUCGGGUGGCGAACGGGUGAGUAACACGUGAGUAACCUGCCCUUGACUUCGGGAUAACUUCAGGAAACUGGGGCUAAUACCGGAUAGGAAUCCUUGCUGCAUGGUGGGGGUUGGAAAGCUUCGGCGGUUUUGGAUGGACUCGCGGCUUAUCAGCUUGUUGGUGGGGUAGUGGCUUACCAAGGCUUUGACGGGUAGCCGGCCUGAGAGGGCGACCGGCCACAUUGGGACUGAGAUACGGCCCAGACUCCUACGGGAGGCAGCAGUGGGGAAUAUUGCACAAUGGGCGGAAGCCUGAUGCAGCAACGCCGCGUGCGGGAUGACGGCCUUCGGGUUGUAAACCGCUUUCAGCAGGGGCGAAGCUUUUGUGACGGUACCUGCAGAAGAAGCACCGGCUAACUACGUG
rnacentral:rRNA from 1 species